rnacentral:rRNA from 1 species
GACGAACCGAGCGAACGUUAUUCGGAAUCAUUGGGCUUAAAGGGCGCGUAGGCGGGCGAUCAAGUCCGGGGCGAAAGCCCCCAGCUCAACUGGGGAAGUGCCUCGGAUACUGGUCGCCUCGAGGGAGAUAGGGGCGUGCGGAACUUCCGGUGGAGCGGUGAAAUGCGUAGAUAUCGGAAGGAACACCGGUGGCGAAAGCGGCGCGCUGGAUCUCUUCUGACGCUGAGGCGCGAAAGCCAGGGGAGCGAACGGG